rnacentral:rRNA from 1 species
UACGAAGGGGGCUAGCGUUGCUCGGAAUCACUGGGCGUAAAGCGCACGUAGGCGGCUUUUUAAGUCAGGGGUGAAAUCCUGGAGCUCAACUCCAGAACUGCCUUUGAUACUGAGGAUCUUGAGUUCGGGAGGGGUGAGUGGAACUGCGAGUGUAGAGGUGAAAUUCGUAGAUAUUCGCAAGAACACCAGUGGCGAAGGCGGCUCACUGGCCCGAUACUGACGCUGAGGCACGAAAGCGUGGGGAGCAAACAGG